AGGAGGAUUUCAUAUGUCAAGUCUCUAGUUCGAAUCCGAAAAGAGACCAAAUGAAGAAUUAAAUUUUUCCUUCUUUUUGCUAUGUGAAAUUACCAGAUUGUCCUUAUCCCAUUGUGAUAUAAUUCCUUCUCUUUUCCUUUCUCCAGCAGAUUUGUGCGUGAGUCAAGAGAGCUGUAGACUUCACCAGAAACUUCGAACCCUUUUCGUUCAGCCCUUCACCCAUUAUCAUCAUCCCUGUCGUUAAACUACUCGACGGUGACCUUGGGAGCGAAAAAAUCCACCAUGGGAGACGUUCAGUGACUGGUUGUUCUCCCCUGUUUUCGCUUCGUUCUUCCUUAUCUUGCUGUCCAUGAACUGUGCGAACGUUCCAAGCUUCCUUGUCGUUUGUCUUUCGUCCAUCUCAAGUGCUGUGAGUUCGCCGGAAGUCUUUUGCUCUUCUCACGUUGGAGUCGUGCAGCGAACCUUCUCUCUUCUUCUUCUUCCUUUCAGUUCGUUAUACAGAGCUGUGACUCAUCUUGCUUCCUUGUUCGGUCUCAGUUGAGCGAGUGUUUUGUCUUCCUCUAUUCCUUGCAUCAGCUGGAGAAUUCCAUUUUCUCUCCCUGUUCUGCUGUAGGUUCUGUCUUCUUCGUUACCUUUGCUGUUAUUGUUGUUUCAGGUGAGAAUUCUUCAGCUUUCUUCCUUGACGAACUUGCGUGAGAGGAAGUGACGCGUGGAGGAAGAGGAUCCCGAUAGAAAUUAAAUAAAUAAUAUUUUGGAGAUUUGAAAUCACAACAGAUUGGUUAGCUGACGCCGAUUUCAUCAACGACCUCAAAAAGGGCAACUAACUACAGUGGGUGGACAUUUUGAUUGGUAUUGUUGCUUUAAUGUAAAUACAUAAAUUGUAUGUCUUUUUGAUCUGAAAGAAAUAGCAGAUGCUCCACAUAGAUUGUUGAUAAAUUUUAUUUUUGGUCUGUAUAUUGGUUGUUGGCUGGAAGGAGCUACGCUCCUGAUUUAUACUGAUAUUUGUAAAAUUUUUAUUGUAGAAUUUUCAGGAGAUCCUAGUUACAGGGGAGGUUCUGCCGAAAUUUCUACAAAAACGUUGACACUUUCUUAUGACAAUGAAUUUAAAGAAGUUAUUUUAAUUUUUAUAUGAUUUGAUUGAAUUUUAUUCUUCUCUUGAAAAAUGAAAUAAAUAUUCAUUUGGAGGCUUACGGGAAGGUGAGAAUGGUUCACACCCGUGCCGGUCACCCUCCAUUUUGGGGC